UACGGGGGGGGCAAGCGUUGUUCGGAAUUACUGGGCGUAAAGGGCUCGUAGGCGGCCAACUAAGUCGAACGUGAAAUCCCCGGGCUCAACCCGGGAACUGCGUCCGAUACUGGCAGGCUUGAAUCCGGGAGAGGGAUGCGGAAUUCCCGGUGUAGUGGUGAAAUGCGUAGAUAUCGGGAGGAACACCAGUGGCGAAGGCGACUACCUGGCCUGUUCUUGACGCUGAGGCGCGAAAGCUAGGGGAGCAAACGGG
rnacentral:rRNA from 1 species